UCCUCCUCCAAACCUUAGACCCUUCCAGCUCUCGGUCUCUCCCCACCCCCUACCAAGCCCACCCGCCACUCCUCCCCCCCACCCCACAACACGAACACGCCCUAGGACAAUCGCUCCCCGGCGAACUCGCCGCUCCAGGGGACCCGCGCCCAGGACGCUGUACCGGCGGUCAAGGGAGGUCAAGGAUGGGGCCCUGCAGUUAAUCACUCGCCCAGCACCCACCAGUCUGCACCCGGAGACAGGGCGAGAGGCAGGAAAGGCGAGCAACAAACAAACCUCUUCGUGGCGCCCAGAAAGUAAUGACGCUCACUUCCCCACCGGUGGAUUCAUUCGAAGAAAGGAUAAGGGGGAGGGGGCAAAAUCUCUUAUUUGGAGAUAAUUUUAGCUGCCCGUUAGACCCCACUUGCUCCGAGCCGUUCUCUCUAAAUUUACCAAGUUAAGUCAUCUUGCUUUCGCCCAUUUGCCAUCGAGAGAAGUGGGGGGAAAAUAUCACUUAGGGAUCAACGAGAAAUCGAGAACCCUGGAGAGGAGUUUUGCCCUCUUGCCCCCUGCCCGAGUCCUUGCGUGGUGGACCUUCUCUCGAAGCUCCUCAUCCCUUCCUCCUGGCCACUUCAGCCACUCCUCACAUCAUCUCCUGCCAGGACCUUUUGACUCACGCGCGACUGGGGAGGGGAGCGAGUAUCCCGUUUCCUCCCUGCCCUGUCGUUCGAGGUGUCUAAUAAGCAAGCCACUCCAUGUUUCGGUUAGGGCCCAGGUUCAAAAUACCUUGGAAUUGUUUGAGAUUUUGGUCAAACAGCAGAACUGCACCCACCGGUUCAGGACCAACCGGACGCAAGGAGAAGCUGGGGCUUUGAUGGGGAGGUGGGAAGGGAAGGGGAGUCUGGGGGCUGCGUACUAGAUAGAUUGUACCUGCCUCAUCAUUAUCCUGGCUGAUGGGGGUUGCCACAUCGAAAACGGCCGGAAGCGCCCGCUGAGGCCCAGGGGCGUCACCUCCUGCGGUUCCUCGCAAGGGCAGGGUCCUCCUUCAGUGUCUCCCCUCGUGCCAAAAUGUCGACGUCUUCCUCUGGGCCAGACGAGGCUGCCGACUCGUUCCCUCCACCCCGACACACAGCACCAUGAAGGUUUGGAUUGGGCGUGCUCUGUCGGGUUCUGCUUUUCUCCCUCUCAUCUGGCCCGCCUCCCUGCCCUCCCCCACUUCCCGCACUUGCCCCCCUCCUCCAGCUUCUCGCCCUUGUCAAAGGAGGGAUUCAGGCCCCAGUUUCAGAUCCACUGGUGGAGUUCUUUUCUCAAGCUCCAGGUCCUCCGGGAACCUGAAGAUUGCAAGGAAAGAGGUGGUUGGCUCCUGCUGCAGCACGGAAGGGGUUAAAUACAUGUGCGGACUGAUCUGCAGGCAGCUCCCAGGUCCCUGGCAGUCUGGAGGGAGAAGGGGAAGGGGGGCAAACAAACUUGAAAAAUCAGAAGAAACGAAGAAAAAGAAAAGGCAGCAAGCAGUGCCUUUAGGACUUGGAUUUGUUCUGCAGAUGCCUUGCACUGGCUGGCAGCCUCACUUUGCCAAGACUUUCGGGGAUCCCAGGAAGAGUUUGUAUUGUUUCCAGCUCCAGGGGGGUUUUGUCCUGAGCUGGUGGGUCCGUCUUUGCUUGCAAUCAACAGGCCUUGUAAUAUGAGAGGUGACACCUUAAUCUUGCCAAAUAUGUGCUGUGUCUUUGUGGGGAGAGGGGAGGAGGGAAGGAGGGAAGGAGAGAGGAAGAGGGAGAGACCCAGACAGGAGCAGAGGGUGAAAAAUGCACUUUUCCUCAGACAUUGGUUUCCCAAAGGGAGAGCCUCAGCCCUUUUCUGGGCGUCUUUCAAGCAGCCUCCUUUGAGCACCGCCAAGUGCCUUUUCCUUUACUGUUUUUCUUUAGACUUCAGACCUGAAGAUAUCUUGCCUCUAAAGACUGGGGAGUGACACCAACCCCCAGAUCUCUGUAGCGGCUUUCAAGAAAGUGGCAAGGUGCUAAAUGAACAGGGUGGGCAGAAAAAAAGAAUUAGAAAGGUGUAUUUUUGAAAAGAUAGAAUAAAAAGAUUAUUAUAUGCAAUGUAGAGCCAUUUUUAAGCUGCAGAAUAUUGUGACUUCUAAGUAAACCCGUGUUUCUAAAUAGAGAUUUUUCUUUUCUAUAGAAAGACCGUAGUGGUAUGGGUAGCAAAAGCAAAGAUCAGGACUGGAAAGUUAGCUGGCUAGGUUGCGAGCUCGUGCCCCAAAGACAGCCCUGGUUAAGGAAGCAUCCAGGAUGAGAUCUUUUAGGAUUCACUAGGCAAUUGCCCCUCUCCAAGUUGACUUUGGCUGUCCAUCUGUCGACUAUAUUUUUAGGUUGCUGAACUUUCUUUUUCUCCCUGCUGCCUCUGAGCCUAAGUCCCUGACUCCUGAAAGUGAUUUCUGAGAGCAGGAACCAGAUCUUGUUUUUGAAAACCCCCUUUAAAACUCAUUCCUAAAGCAAAUUUCCACAGCACGCCUUCUGGUUACCCUUAUCUUUUGCAAUAGCACCACUCUGUGGUUGGAACACCGAACAGAAACGGGAACGUGGGAUUGAAUUUUGCCUUUACCUCGUGAAAAAGAGCACUUCUCUCCUCUGUUUGAGCUCAGUGGACUGUGUGCCGUGGUGGGGUCUCGGCAUGUGGUGAGGGAGGGGGCCCUGUGCAGUGACAGUAUGUGGUUAAUUCAUUGUGACAUGUUGACCUAGGAAAUGAGAGAAUUGGACCGAAUGGCCUCCUAGGACCCUGUCUGUGUCAAAGACAAGCUUGGUUCCCCCCGCCCCAUGAUCAGUAGCCCUAGAGUGACAUCUGUGAGUGAAGUCUCCAACUGGGUACAAGACACGGCCAGGUGACCCCUAUAAUCCAAAGUGUGCAGGGAGUCUGUGGUUAAGUCGACAAUGAAGUCACAACUGGAAGGAGGUGCCCACUGUGAACAGUGGUCCACAUCCCGCGGCUCAAGUUGGAAAACAGAGACUAGCUGCCAGCUACACUCAAUGAACAGAUGACAUUGGGAGGUUUUGGGGUACAUGUGAAGAGCAUGCAGGAUUGGUGCAUAGUACAUGGGUUUGCUGCCUUCCUCCCAAUCACCUGUAUCUGGCAUUUUGUCUCACUCUGUCACCCAUACUGGAGUGCAGUGGCACAAUCUUGGCUCACUGCAACCUCCACCUCGUGGGUUCAAGUGAUUCUCACGCCUUAGCCUCCUGAGUAGCUGGGAUUACCACCAUGCCCGAAUUUGCAUUUAUUUAUGUUUCUAAGUAGAGAUGAAGUUUGGCUAUGUUGGCCAAGCUAGUUUCAAAUCCCUGGCCUCAAGUGAUCUGCCUGCCUCGGCCUCCCAAAGUGCUGGGAUUAUAGGCCUGAGUCAAUGUGACUGGCCCCUAGAAUUUUAAUUUUAUUUUUCCUGUGAUAAAGCUAUGAAUAAAUCCUUGGAUAAAUUUCUA